rnacentral:ncRNA from 1 species
CGAGCUCCGGUUCACGGCGCCGCUGUGCAGAUGGUGUGCAGGCGGCAGCCGACCCGGCGGCU